UUGGUUUGGAGAGAGGAGCAUUAAAUUCAUCAAAGUGACCAUUCACUCAAGUGAAGAAGACUAGGGAAAAAGAUUUUUGACGAAACGGGAAGUGAGUUUGGAAAGGCGUAAGGAGCUUGAAAGGUACCGACGACAGGUUUGCUGAUCCGUCUGCUUAGGAUCUCAUUCUGCUAUUUUUGGAGCGCUCUUUUAUUCAGAGCCAUCUUUUGGUAUAGUCUGUCACUUCUAUAUAUGUAUAUUUCUCGUUCAUGGGUACGGCGGGGCCCUGUCCCGUCAUAUGAUUCUGUCGGUCUGUUAGAGGUCUGUGGACAUGUAGGUGGGUUGGGAUCUUUCUGUACAGCUGUGUGUAUAUGUUGUG